CAAAGACAACAGGUUGACUUAAAUACGCAGGGAGGGUAAUCAGGGAAUGAGACACACCUGGGAAGCAAUCAACAGGUAAGACAGGACAGGGACAGGGCUAAACACAGAAAACCUAAAAAAAUAACUACACAGAAAAUACAGAACACAACAAUUGAAGAUCAAAAUGUAUUCAAUUAUUGUUGAACAACCAUUUUACAGAUUAGCAUAAGCCGGAGGCGUGGAUUUCCAGCGAACACUCUUUACAAGGGAGAGCUGACGCAACCUAAGCUGAUUUAUUUAACUGGAAAAAAAAGAAGUUAUGGAGGCAAUACGGUUCAGAGAAAACCCAACACUCGGCCUGGACGCACAUACUCCACAUCGCGCAGCCUCUGCAGUGACAUUGAUGUCUGUAACUGUGCCAGGACAGGAGAGCUUCUUGAGCGCCCAGCAGCCAAACAAACUGCAGCUUAACUAACCUUGAACUGCUGACAACAUGAAGCGCCAUUAGCAUAAUAAACAAACCCUUCGGAAACACAGCGGCGGGGUGCGUCCAGCCUGCUCUGGCUUCACAA